GCCAGCUCUGGCUUUGAAGAUGGAUGGGAGUCACAGUUAGAGAAAUGCAGACAGCCUCUAGAAGCUGGAAAAGACAAGGAAAUGGAUUCUCUCCUAAAGCCUUCAGGAAGAAUACAGCCCUGCCACGGCAAACAGAUGAUAAGGUUGUCCUGAACCUUUAAUACAAAACAAGCAGGCCAAGAACCUAUCGUGAAUUAUCAAUGUAAAGAGAAAUUCAACUCUAGAGAAAGAAGAUUUCUAAUGCACAAAUAAUACUAAAGCAACAGUAACAGAAUUCUAAAGUUAAAGAAUAAAAACAUUCUCCCACCUUACACUUGUGCCAACAAAUUAAACCAUUUUCCCACUGCA